GACGAACGCUGGCGGUGUGCUUAACACAUGCAAGUCGAACGGUAAGGCCCUUUCGGGGGUACACGAGUGGCGAACGGGUGAGUAAGACGUGCGUAAGUUGCCCUCAUCUCUGGGAUAACAGUCGGAAACGGUUGCUAAUACUGGAUAUGAGCGUGCAAGGCAUCUUGGGGGUGGGAAAGAUAUUUUUGGUUGGGGAUGGAGUCGGGGCCUAUCAUCUUGUUGGUGGGGGAGUGGCUCACCAAGGGGUCGUCGGGUAGCCGGCCUGAGAGGGGGGACGGCCACAUUGGGGCUUGGGUACGGCCCAAACUUCUACGGGAGGCAACAGUGGGGAAUAUUGCACAAUGGGCGGAAGUCUGAUGCAGCAACGCCGCGUGCGGGAUGACGGCCUUCGGGUUGUAAACCGCUUUCAAUUGUGACGAAGCUUUUUGUGACGGUAGUAGUAGAAGAAGCACCGGCUAACUACGUG
rnacentral:rRNA from 1 species